rnacentral:rRNA from 1 species
AGCAGCCGCGGUAAUUCCAGCUCCAAUAGCGUAUAUUAAAGUUGUUGCAGUUAAAAAGCUCGUAGUUGAAUUUCGGGAUCAGUAUGUUGGUCGUGCUUCGGUACGUACUGUCAUUACUGGUUUCUACCUUCUGAAGAACCUUGAUGUCAUUAAUUUGGUGUCUUGGGGAAUCAGGACUGUUACUUUGAAAAAAUUAGAGUGUUUAAAGCAAGCAUACGUUUGAAUACAUUAGCAUGGAAUAAUGAAAUAGGACGUUUGAUUCUAUUUUGUUGGUUUCUAGGAUCGACGUAAUGAUUAAUAGGGAUAGUUGGGGGCAUUAGUAUUCAAUUGUCAGAGGUGAAAUUCUUGGAUUUAUUGAAGACUAACUACUGCGAAAGCAUUUGCCAAGGAUGUUUUCAUUAAUCAAGAACGAAAGUUAGGGGAUCGAAGACGAUCAGAUACCGUCGUAGUCUUAACCAUAAACUAUGCCGACUAGGGAUCGGAUGAUGUUAUUUUUAAUGACUCAUUCGGCGCCUUACGG